rnacentral:lncRNA from 1 species
CUCUGGACUUAAUUUUUUGUUGGAUAAGAUUUAGAUCAAGUCAAUUGCUUUAGUCCUAAUCUAAUCUAUUUGGGUUUAGGGGGCACCACAUUGGGCGCCUCAAUAGGAUUGGGUCAAGCGAAUUAGUUGGCUCAUUUCCUCUAUUUCUCCUUUGACUUGGCAUAAGUUUUAUGAAAGGGAUGCUGCAUGCCACCUCUAGAU